UCCGGUGACUAUAGCGGGGAGGAUACACCUGUUCCCAUCUCGAACACAGUAGUUAAGCUCCUUAGCGCCGAUGAUACUUGGUGGGAAGCUGCCUGGGAAAGUAGGACGUUGCCGGUU
rnacentral:rRNA from 1 species